rnacentral:lncRNA from 1 species
UGUGAAAGGUAGAGAGGAAAAUGUGGCAAAGAAAGUGUAUUAACUCUCAAAGGAAGCUUUACAAGAGUGUGAUUGCUUUACAAUUCUCAAGUGGUGAAAAAUGAGGGUGGCUAUCCUAUUUAUAGGCCUAAGAAAUUCUAGAAUAUUCUAUGUACAGUAGCUGUCCAGAAGGGUUGAGAAGCUUCCAGAAGAUUCUGGUAGCUUGUGGCAAAGUCUAGGCCAGUUCUAGAGCCUUCUGGUCUGGCCUGGAACCUUCUGGCGCUUGCUGGAGUUUUCUGGGGCGAUCUGGAGCCUUCUCUCGCUGGCUGGCCCGUGGUUGGCCGCUUACUCGUGGUUGGCCGCUCAUGCAUUGGUUGGCCUCCCGCCUGCUGGCAGCUUCGAGAGAGCUCCCGCAGUUGUUCCCCGUAGGCCUGUAGAACUGGCCCGUUGGACCUCGUUUGGGGGCUGCCCCCUCGCCCAUGCGCCAAUCUGCCUGCUGGGCUGGGCAGUCCGUCUGGCCCGUAGGCCUGCCAAUGCCCUCAGCGUCCGGGUGGCUGGUCAAGGUCCGAAAACUUGGCCCGUUCUGCGGGGUGAGUCUUUCGGUAGGCGACACAAGGA